AAUGGAGUUGGAAUGGGAGGGAUGGGAGUUGGAGCAAUGGCAGGAGUUGGGGGAAUGGGAACAGUGGGAGGAGUUGGGGGAAUGGGAACAAUGGGAGGAGUUGGGGGAAUGGGAACAAUGGGAACAAUGGGAGGAGUUGGGGGAAUGGGAACAAUGGGAGGAGUUGGGGGAAUGGGAGCAAUGGGAGGAGUUGGAGUGGGAGGUGGACGGCUGGUGGACCCUCAUGGCGUGGUGGUGGUGGAGGGAUGUGGCGCUGAAGGAUGUGAGGACUGUGAACGGGAAAUGGACGAGAUCGAUUACGCUCUGCAGGAGGACAGAGAGGACUCACUCUGCUGAGACUUUGAAGACCAGAGGACUGAGACAAACAUCUGGUUAGCUUUGAUUUUAGUCAUCUGACUGAACCUACAAGAUUUGGACACACGCAUCUUCAUAAGUCUUUGUUGGUUUGUCAUAAAUAGGCAGCUCCAAGGGAUCAUUCCAGCGCAUUUCUAGACUCUUUUUAGGCCUGCAUGCAUGCUGUGGACCGUUCACAGAGCAGAUGUGUCGUCGAAUGUAUCUUUAUACAGGCCAUGACUGUAGCAAACCAAAGGUGUAGGGUUGUGGCAAAGCAAGACGGUGACCUGGGAUUGUGUCGUCAGUUACUGGAUCCAACACAGCAAUGGGAAAUUUAAAGUGUAGCACAGAGUUUGCACAAUAUAGAUGAGGUAUCAUCUGCAGACUACAGUAGACUCUUUACACAAGAAAGUUGACCAUGUCAUCAAGUGGUCAAGAUCGAGAAGUGGACUUCCUGUUACAUGCAAAGAUGUUCUUUCCCGUAUAUCAGUCACUUUAUGACUCAUUUCUGUGUAAAUUUAAAUACAGAACUGGUAAAUUCUUGUCUGCAGAGCAGAUCUCGGUGAUGCAUAUGCGCUCCUGUCAUGCGUGGUAAAGCCACUUUCAUUGAUUACAAAGGAUGGUAUUGGAUGGCGCCACAUCUUGUGGACAUUUAGUACAACCACAGGUUACACAAUGACAGUUUAAUAAUGUAUUAUCCCAUUUUUUGACCACUCUGUUGAUUUAUUACAGGGUCUCGCUGAACAAGUUAGCACAGCAGCACUGUUGCCCCAUUGCCUCCAUGUUUCUGACAACCUGAAGAAUGUAUAUCCAAGAACCAAACCUUUCUACUGAGUGUUGGUGUGUAGGGAGUCUUUCUGCACCAGAAGAUGAAGUCAACGAGGCUAAAAGCUUCACAGAGCUGAAGAACUGGCAUGUUUCUAUAACCUCUCCUAUGCUGCUGGUACUCUUACUGACUUCUUACUGACAUUUAAAAGCUCCACCACAUCGUUCAUAGUCGUCCAAUAUUUCUGACCAAAUACCUGACAUGGAUGCCUGGGGCAUGACAGACGACACAUUUGGGAACGAAAGAAGAAGCAGGGAUCAAAGAUUACAUCAACAGAGAGAUUUGGAGGUUAAGACAGAUGCUUUCAAAUGCUGGACAGAAGAUUAUGUCAAUAAUCUCCCCUGUCAGGGGAAUAAGAGAGAGAGCCUGACAUAAUAUAGGCAGUGAAGCAGAGAUAAAGCAGACCUCCGGGUCACUGAACACUAUGUGAAAAGUAAUUAAAAAUGUAAAUUAAAUCGGAAUUAUACAACCGUUACACAACUGUCAACAUAUGCAAAGUGAUGGAUUUGAUUAGUUUAUUACUCAUAAGCUGAGCAGUGUCUGUCGCUGUGCUUUUAACUGAAGCCACCACAUGUAUGUGUUUUCACUUUACAUCUAAUUUUUAAAUAUUUUAAGGAUGCUAGAUGUUCUAAUUUGCCAAAAAAUAGCAGUUUCUACUCACUCCAUUGAAAAACUACAAAGUGAGUGUCCAUGAUUUUGCAGUCCAGUGAUUUUCUAAAGAGAUAAAUACUUUUUUUGGAAGGAACCCUCCAAAAUAAAUGUCCUUUUUGGUGAAUUAA
ensembl:lncRNA